CGGACGCUUAACCGACUGCGCCACCCAGGCGCCCCAACAUACCUAUUUCAAAUAAGUCUGAUUUUACCAUGUUACUCUUCCAAACUCUGAGUUAUCAGCUGAUGUGCAGUGGUUCCCAAAGUGUGGGCAACAGACUAGCAGCAUCAGCAUCAUCUGUGAACUUGGCAGAAAUAACGCUUGGGACCCACCCCAGACUGACUGAAUGUGGUGAAUAGAAGCAGUUAUAGUUGGCAAGUAUAUCUUUAGACUUUAUUUUUAGAUAAAAUGCUUUUAGUGUUUCAUCAUAAAGUAUGAUGUUUGAUAUAGGUUUCUAAGACCAAAGUUCUGCUUUGUUGUCAUAAUGGAAUCAUACUGUGAUUAAUAUAAAGACACUAACAGACACAGAGAAUAUCAAGUGUAAUGGCAAAGGGAAAAUAAAUCUGCAAAGGUGAUUUUAAAAGCAAGGGAUAACAUAUCAUUCUCUCAGAUAGAGGAAAGACUUCCCAGAUCCCCAAAGUUUCCCAUCCAGAUACAGCUAUUGGACAGUAUCACAAAGUAUUUUCUGCUUUUAAUGUGGGUUUUUUAUCCUUUUGGUCCUGACUCCUGGAAUAUCUUUUUAUGUGCCUACCAGCUGUCCAGGUGCAAAUAACCACUCCAAAACACUUUGAAUACCUUAUUUUUUUUCUCUCAGAUAAUUAAGUAAAGCAAAAGUCAAUAUCCCUUCAGGAGAUUCAGGCUAAGUGGCCUAACUGAGCUCCACUCUUACAUCCUCUAUUCCUAGAUCACUAAGAACUGUUGCAUAAAUAUGUGUUGAAUAUUAUUAAAUGCUCAUUCUUUAUUUGGAUAAUCAUAUUUUUCCUUUUAAUCUGUUAA